UACGUAGGGGGCAAGCGUUGUCCGGAUUUACUGGGCGUAAAGAGCGUGUAGGCGGCCAAACAGGUCCGUUGUGAAAACUGGAGGCUCAACCUCCAGACGGCGACGGAAACCGUGUGGCUAGAGUCCGGAAGAGGAGAGUGGAAUUCCUGGUGUAGCGGUGAAAUGCGCAGAUAUCAGGAGGAAUACCGGUGGCGAAGGCGGCAUCCUGGACCAUAACUGACGCUGAGGCGCGAAAGCUAGGGGAGCAAACAGG
rnacentral:rRNA from 1 species